GUGGUUAUAGUUAAAAAAUAAUACCAGAUUGUGAAUCUGGAGGUAGAAGAUUAACCCUUCUUACCCACC
rnacentral:tRNA from 1 species